AAGUCGUAACAAGGUAACCGUAGGUGAACCUGCGGUUGGAUCAUUAAAAAAAAAGACCCGCUAACCGCUUAUCAGCCCGGUGCUCUGUCAAAUCAAUCUGUGACCGAUGCCAGGGAAAGGUAAUUUCUACCAAGGGUUACCUCUACCAGCGGACAGUCCCAUUGAUAGACCGAGCCGUGAGCUGAAAAGCGGUUUAUAAAGGCACACAAAUUGUGAACCGUUCCGUCCCUGGCGGGGGGGUAGUGAAGAGCUACUUGUCAGCAUAUGGCCUCAAAACCAUGUGCCGUGGACAUCCCGUCAACCCCUUCUUUAAACUUUUAUUCAUCUUUAUGACUGACAUUACUUUUGUAAAAAUAUACAAAACAACUUUUGGCAACGGAUCUCUUGGCUCUC
rnacentral:misc_RNA from 1 species